GAUGAACGCUCGCGGGAGGCCUAACACAUGCAAGCCGAGCGGUAUUGUUUCUUCGGAAAUGAGAGAGCGGCGUACGGGUGCGUAACACGUGUGCAACCUGCCUUUAUCUGGGGGAUAGCCUUUCGAAAGGAAGAUUAAUACUCCAUAAUAUAUUGAACGGCAUCGUUUAAUAUUGAAAGCUCCGGCGGAUAGAGAUGGGCACGCGCAAGAUUAGCUAGUUGGUGAGGUAACGGCUCACCAAGGCGAUGAUCUUUAGGGGGCCUGAGAGGGUGAUCCCCCACACUGGUACUGAGACACGGACCAGACUCCUACGGGAGGCAGCAGUGAGGAAUAUUGGUCAAUGGGUGCAAGCCUGAACCAGCCAUCCCGCGUGAAGGACGACUGCCCUAUGGGUUGUAAACUUCUUUUGUAUAGGGAUAAACCUACCCUCGAGAGGGUAGCUGAAGGUACUAGACGAAUAAGCACCGGCUAACUCCGUG
rnacentral:rRNA from 1 species